GAGCGAACGCUGGCGGCAGGCUUAACACAUGCAAGUCGAACGGGCGUAGCAAUACGUCAGUGGCAGACGGGGUGAGUAACGCGUGGGGAACGUACCUUUUGGUUCGGAACAACCCCAGGGGAAACUUGGGCUAAUACCGGGAUAAGCCCUUACGGGGAAAGAUUUAUCGCCGAAAGAUCGGCCCGCGUCUGAUUAGCUAGUUGGUGAGGUAACGGCUCACCAAGGCGACGAUCAGUAGCUGGUCUGAGAGGAUGAUCAGCCACACUGGGACUGAGACACGGCCCAGACUCCUACGGGAGGCAGCAGUGGGGAAUAUUGGACAAUGGGCGAAAGCCUGAUCCAGCAAUGCCGCGUGAGUGAGGAAGGCCUUAGGGUUGUAAAG
rnacentral:rRNA from 1 species